rnacentral:rRNA from 1 species
GGGGGAACCCUGAUCCAGCCAUGCCGCGUGUGUGAAGAAGGCCUUAUGGUUGUAAAGCACUUUAAGCGAGGAGGAGGCUACUUUAGUUAAUAUCUAGAGAUAGUGGACGUUACUCGCAGAAUAAGCACCGGCUAACUCUGUGCCAGCAGCCGCGGUAAUACAGAGGGUGCGAGCGUUAAUCGGAUUUACUGGGCGUAAAGCGUGCGUAGGCGGCUUAUUA